UAUGCACUUUUACUUUUUUUUUUUUAUUUCAAAUAUGCUCCUAGUAUAUUUCUCCGUUAUUUAAAAAUAACAUCGCUGUUAGUAUCCGUUAAAUCAUCUCAAAUUAAAUUUGGAUUAAAUUUUUAUUAGGGUUAAAAAGAAGUCAAAAUAUUUCUUUUAUCGCUAACUUAUUAAUUUAUUUCCUAAACUUAUUUUCCAACCUGGUCUUAUUUGGAUGUCGAAAUAAGUUAUCCAAUAAUAUCUUAUAUG
rnacentral:lncRNA from 1 species